ensembl:lncRNA LINC02668 long intergenic non-protein coding RNA 2668
ACACAUUUCAUCACCUCUCAGAAGGGGUUAACAUCACAGAAUUCCAAGUCUGAGGGUGGAGCCCUGAUCCUGAGAAGGUUUUGUUGAGUUCGGGACAGUAUUUCUUUACCCAUCCUUCAUGAAGAUAAAAAAUGAGGCAAAAUAGACACUAAAAUGGUCUCUGACAUCUCCUCAUGCCACCAGACAAGGAGUAACCAUGGUAACAAGAAGCCUAGAAAAAUUGGGGAAUGAGGAAGACCAGGAAUGAGAGCUCCCCUCAGCCCUGGGGGGACCUGAGUGUCCACAGCUGAGCCUUCUCUGCUUCCCUUUUCUCUUCUGGAUUCUGAUGGAGGAUAUUUUCAUCUUCCUCCCAAAAUCAUCAGAAAGCAUAAGGACAUAUAUAAACCGCUUUGCAAAAAGAGAGUGUAUGGAAUAAAAGAGAAAAUGAAGAAGAGGAGAAAGGCUGGAGUGCAAUGGUGUGAUCUCAGCUCACUGCAGCCUCAACCUCCCUGGCUCAGGUGAUUCUCCCACCUCAGCUUCCUGAUUAACUGGGAUUACAGUAAUGGUGAAAUUGCCGGUAAUCGCUAAGUAAAAACCACUGAAGAACAGGACAGAAGCCAAUGACCACCUCACCUCCACCGAGUGCCCUGCAGAAAAAGGAAAUGGAAAUCCUUCCUGUUAUUCUCCGCGUCCCUUCGUAGAAGGCUGCCUGAGAGGUCAGCACAGGAGUCCUCUAAGUGCCCUGCAGAGAACACGGGUCUCGGAGCCGGACAAACCUAAAUUUUGAAACCCACUUUGAGUUUGAACUUGGCUGUGGGAAAGUUACACAAUCGCUCUAAGCCUCUGUUUUCUCAUCAGUAAAACAGAGAGGGGUUGCUUGUGUGAGAAGUGGCCGCUGCCAAUCAUCUGCGUGUCCUUCACUCUCCCAGGGGCCAUGGGUCUGUAUUCUACACAUGUGGGAUCUUCCUCUGGACCCUUCGGACAUGGUCCACACGCUGCCCUCAGGAUCUGCUGGGGUCUGCAUGGGGGGUGAGACGUGAACCCCAACCACGUUCACCACAGAGAGGAAACUGGGGGGAUGGAGGGGGGGACAAGGCCAGGUCACCUUCAGGUGCCGCCCGCCAGCAAGGCGGUUUGCACCCGGCUGAAUGAGCUUUAAAAAAGACAGUUUUUUCUGUAGUUUAGAAUCAUGGUUUCACUAAAUGGUGAAAUAAUUUUAUGCCACUUCCCCUACUAAUUACCAUCUCAUUGUUAUUAGAAAGGAUGGUUUCCUUGAAGUCUAGAAAAUUUUGUUCCAGUCCAUUUCAACGGUGCAGGAGAAACGUGGCUUCCAUUCCGAGGAAGACGGCGACACCUAGUGACCGUUCCCUCGCGGUGCGAUGGCCUCACACCUGUGCGGCGGGUCGUCCGGGGCGUAGGGUGCUGCGGCCUUGCGGUCUUCCCUGCGCUGCAAGGCAGGGCAUGGUGGCAGAUUAACACCUGGAUGAACACGGGCAGGUCAGGAGACAAAUAAAACCCAGAGGUCUUUGAAACUUCAAAAUCCCGUAGGGUGUGUGACCCCAGUGAGCCCCACGCUACAUCCAGCGAGAACCGAGAAGUGAUGGUGCAGACAUUCUUGGGUCCCCCAGACAGAACACACCGGGAGUUACUGCCUCUUUCUCAUCCCGAGUCCUCCUGACUUUCCCCAGCACCCAUCGUGGCUGCAGCCAGGACACAGGUAAAUGUAAUUUCCCUCCCCUUCCAUCCUCGCUUUCACAUCGGUGUGAUUGACUGAGGGCCUGCAGACUCUCUCCACGUGCGGGUGCCCUGCAGCCUGACACACAAAUGCGUUCAUCCUUCCCCUUUAUCCUGACCCCGAACUAAUGACGCAGCUUCCUGAGACACAGAGGAUGCUUCUCCUCGUCCCCCCUCGCGCUCUGAAGUGGGAAAAGAUGUGUUCCAUCUGUUCUGGAAUUUUCACUGUAAAGAAGAGAAUGAAUUUUAACUGUGUUUUUGACAUAUCCCUAAACAAGAAGUGGUUUAUAGAGUGAAACCAUUUUCCCUUCAUCUAAAAUUUAAAAAAAAAAAAAAAGAGAGAGAAAAGUGCAAGACUGAAGAUGUGUGUUGAGCGGGGUGAGGAAGCGUGGGGGACUCGGCGCUGGAGGAGCCCCGGGUGUGUUUAGGGUUUGUGGUCAGGGGCCCUGGGCACCAGGUCCAGUCUGAAGCACCCGGGGGGAUGGACGAUGUUUGUGUAAGAGAGGGACAAAGGGAUGGCAGGGUGGCCAAGCAGAGACGCGAUUCCCUCUGUGCCCUUCCUGGACCAGCUUUGUAUUCUAACAGCAACGUCUCUGUUCUUGGGAAGAGCUCCUCGGUGAUUACCUGCCCGCCCCUUGUCUCCUCUUAUUCCCGCUGCCACAGGGCAGGGCCGCCCAGCUCCAGCUCAGACACACACCUGCUCCAACUGCUGUGCUGGUCACAGGCCCAGAGCACCACGUGUCCUCUGGGGUCUGUGUGGUCGGCGCCGUGCGUGGGACCACUGUGAGUGACCCUCCUCUUGUGUCACAGAGCCACUGUACCCGUGUGCACCUGUGCUCUGAGACCUGGAUACCCCUGGAAGGACAGACACCGAGGACCCGAGUGCACUGGAGUCCCGCUCCCACAGAUCCUGCUGCUGGGAGAACUGUCAGCCAGGAACGGGACUGCGGUGGGGAAUUCCUUCUGUCAACACACUUUCUAAUCUAAGCUCCAGACUCCACUUCCAGACUAGCACAGGCUUUUUCCCCCACAUCUCCUUCUCUGCAGCCGGGGCUCCUGCCGGGUCUGCGGAGCCCAGAGCCAUGCUCUCUGCCGACUCCAUCUCCAGAUGCCUGCCCCGGCACCCACGCUGUUGCCAGGACACCAGUGAACCCAGACAGGGAGCUGGGAGAUGGGAACAUCACUAGACCACGAGCCGGAAUUGCUGCAGGAGGAUUCCCACACUCUGGGCCUCCGUGGGCACCACGAGGACUGGACGUGCGACCCCAGCUCUCUGGGUCUCAGUUUCGUCUCCUGCAGAGCAUCUGAGCUAGACCGUCUCUAAAAUUUCAUCAAGCUCCUGUAUUCCAUUCUAUUCUGAGAUGCCCAAUUCUUAUGCCUGCUAAAAACCACAGUGAGAAAUAAUAACCUAUGUCCACAUUUUUGUUUCCUAGGAGAAAUAUCAACAUGCGUCUGC